rnacentral:rRNA from 1 species
GUCGAGCGGGGCACCGAUAGCUUGCUCUCGGGUGACGAGCGGCGGACGGGUGAGUAAUGUCUGGGAAACUGCCUGAUGGAGGGGGAUAACUACUGGAAACGGUAGCUAAUACCGCAUAACGUCGCAAGACCAAAGUGGGGGACCUUCGGGCCUCAUGCCAUCAGAUGUGCCCAGAUGGGAUUAGCUAGUAGGUGGGGUAACGGCUCACCUAGGCGACGAUCCCUAGCUGGUCUGAGAGGAUGACCAGCCACACUGGAACUGAGACACGGUCCAGACUCCUACGGGAGGCAGCAGUGGGGAAUAUUGCACAAUGGGCGCAAGCCUGAUGCAGCCAUGCCGCGUGUGUGAAGAAGGCCUUCGGGUUGUAAAGCACUUUCAGCGGGGAGGAAGGCGUUAAGGUUAAUAACCUUGGCGAUUGACGUUACCCGCGAAGAAGCACCGGCUAACUCCGUGCCAGCAGCCGCGGUAAUACGGAGGGUGCAAGCGUUAAUCGGAAUUACUGGGCGUAAAGCGCACGCAGUCGGUCCGUCAAGUCGGAUGAGAAAUCUCUGGCUCAACGUGGGAACUGCAUUGAAACUGCAGGCUAGAGUCUUGUAGAGGGGGGGUAGAAUUACAGCUGCAGCCGCUGAAAUGCGUAGAGAUCUGGAGGAAUACCGGUGGCGAAGGCGUCCCCUUGGACAAAGACUGACGCUCAGGUGAGAAAGCGUGGGGAGCAAACAGGAUUAGAUACCCUGGUAGUACACGCCGUAAACGAUGUCGAUUUGGAGGUUGUCCCCUUGAGGCGUGGCUUCCGGAGAUAACGCGUUAAAUCGACCGCCUGGGGAGUACGCCCGCAAGGUUAAAACUCAAAUGAAUUGACGGGGGCCCCGCACAAGCGGUGGAGCAUGUGGUUUAAUUUGAUGCAACGCGAAGAACCUUACCUGGUCUUGACAUCCACAGAACUUACCAGAGAUGGAUUGGUGCCUUCGGGAACUGUGAGACAGGUGCUGCAUGGCUGUCGUCAGCUCGUGUUGUGAAAUGUUGGGUUAAGUCCCGCAACGAGCGCAACCCUUAUCCUUUGUUGCCAGCGGUUAGGCCGGGAACUCAAAGGAGACUGCCAGUGAUAAACUGGAGGAAGGUGGGGAUGACGUCAAGUCAUCAUGGCCCUUACGACCAGGGCUACACACGUGCUACAAUGGCAUAUACAAAGAGAAGCGACCUCGCGAGAGCAAGCGGACCUCAUAAAGUAUGUCGUAGUCCGGAUUGGAGUCUGCAACUCGACUCCAUGAAGUCGGAAUCGCUAGUAAUCGUAGAUCAGAAUGCUACGGUGAAUACGUUCCCGGGCCUUGUACACACCGCCCGUCACACCAUGGGAGUGGGUUGCAAAAGAGAGUAUGAUGAGCUUAAACCCUUUUGCUAAAGGGCCGAUGAUUCUAGGGCGCCCCGAC